UCCCGGGUAGCUCAGACAGUAAAACGUCUGCCUGCAAUGCAGAAGACCCGGGUUUAAUCCCUGGGUCGGGAA
rfam:TPA: Bos taurus chromosome 20, whole genome shotgun sequence.